AUCACUUGAGCCCGGGUGGCUGAGGCUGCAGUGAGCUGAGAUCGUGCCACUGUACUCCAGCCUGGGUGACAGAGUGAGACACUGCCUAAAUAAAGGAAAAAAAAAAAAAAAAAAAAAACUACCACGUGGCAUUAUACAAAGCCAAGAUUUCACAACAUUUUUGAAAAUUCCAAAUGACUUACAUGUUUACAAGGACCAAAAACUUUUUGAUAUUUUAAAAUAAGCUUUAUCCUUUUUAACCACCAUGCAGCAUGCUGUGCCAUCAUGAUGGAAGCCUGAUGGCUAAUGUGAAAUAAUGUUGGCAUGUCAUUUAAAAGGUUAACAGACAUGAAAAUUGGGAAGUUUAAUAUUGUUUAAUACAAAUAAAAUUGUUUUUGAAAGAAAGGCAUCUGUGUUGAGCGUGGCUUGCUUGAAAACUUCUCCUGUCUAUCAUCUCUGAACAUUAUUUUGCUCCUCUUGACUUUACUCAAGGGGCCUAAUCCUACAGUGAUUCAGGAGGUUUGAGAAAGCAGGACUCAUGAGACUAAAAAUUAGGAAACUACUAUCCUGCCAGCAAUGGGACACCUCUUUGGCUACCACCUCACCUAAAACUUCAUUGAAUCAGAAAAUUAGCUGAACUUUCCACACCAGUCUCCUGCAAUUUUAAUUCAUAGCAUCCUGUACUAAAUAGCUGGGGCUUUCAAAAGCAGGUGCUACGUAUAUACAGAAAGAAAUACAUACCUUCUGUUGCCUCUCAAAAUCCGUUAUGCUAAACUCACCAAAUACGUUACAUGUUAAAUGUUUCAUUCCUUGUGUUUUUAGAUCUCCAGUUACCAAUUUGCUAUCUAUCCUCCUACCAAACAUUAUUUAACCAACUCAUAUCCUGAUUGGUAUUACAAUUCUUGUAAAUAAAAGAAUCCUUUUCUCCCUCUUUAUUUUUACCAAGUAGACUUCUUUCAUUGCAAAUAAACAUAAAUUACAAUAUUUUAAGGCUCUUUGACAUAAGCAUUUGCUUUCUUACCUAAGCAGGUAAUACUUUUGUAUACCUACCAGACACUAAAGAAGCUAAAUGUCAAGAGUGAGUAUUUCAGUAAAACCUGUAGAAAUUUUAAUGAAAUGGGACAGGUUUAAAAAAAUGCCAAGAAAGGAAAAGGUGGACUCCUUACUUUUAUAUUUCAAGUUUUCUAUUUUGUAUCAAUAUAUGCUGCAUUUUCUGAUUGAAAUUGCUGUUCUGUCUAAUGAAACUUGUGAUUUUCUGUAGUUGCUUUUUACAUUUGAAAGCAAACUUUCAUACUGUGUGUGCUUAACUGUACCCCUUCUGUUAGGGAUUUGAUUAAAAUACUCUAACCGUUUCAUUAAUUCCUUUUUAUGUGCUUAAUGUAUGUGACAUUUAUGGCUUUGUUAUCUCAAAAGCUAUCUGUGGACAAAAUCCAUGAAGCCUGUUGACUGUGAUUUAUACACGUGAAAGAAAAAAACCAAUUUCCUCCUAAGCAGUGAAUCAGUGAAUAAGAAACUGUUCAGUGGCCUCUGAUUCCUGACCCUUUUACCCUUCAUGGCCUUUUUUCUAUUCUUAAUUAUUCCUUGAGUAAUUGUGUGUUCUUGUAAAAUGCAAAAUCAAUUUACAUGCAAUCAGGUAUGGACACAAGAAAUGCUUGUGCUCUCGAUUUCAGGACUCACAGAUACCAUAACAGUCACGGGACUGUAGUUCACUCAGUAUUUUUUGUUAAUAAUGUGGCUUUGCUAUAAAAUAACUUGGUGUUUCCUUUGCUUUGGUACUACAAGAUUUUAAAUGUUGCAGCAAAUGAAAGAAUGAAAACACAUUUGAAAGCUGGUGUCAAAAAUCAUCAGCUGUACUUAUAAAAGUUGUUGUGCAGCUUCUGAAAUGUAGUUUAUUGCUGUAAAUAUGUACAAUUUAUGUUAGCUCGUUUAUUCUGAAAACACAAAUAAAACUUUUUUUUAAAUUA
rnacentral:lncRNA from 1 species